GGAUACGAUAGAGGCCAUCUGGGAUGAUGGUCGGUGAAAUUUGGACUGCCACUGCAAAAUGAGGGUAUAUUGGAUAGGGACAGAAAUUUUGCCUUGCAACAGGCCACCUACGGACCCCUCAAAGAGUUGUUGCAAGGGUUCUUAACGUGAAAAGAGCGUGGCACUCUCUUUACACGAGGCAUCGGAUUUAACGUCCCCCUUCUGGCCGGACGUGACUGCGAACUUGAUAC
rnacentral:lncRNA from 1 species